CCAGCAGCCGCGGUAAUUCCAGCUCUCUCAAUAUAUAGAAUUAUUGUUGCGGUUAAAAAGUUCGUAGUUGGAUUUCACACCGAUCGUGGGUCGGGCUUAACGGCUCGUACUCACGUCGGCGUUUGCACUGUCGGUGCUUGCACUGGCAAUGCAGAUUACUUUGAACGGCUUAAGUGCUCAAGGCGAGUCUUCGGACUGAAUACCGGUGCAUGGAAUAAUGGAACAAGGUUUCGGCCGAGUUUUGUUGGUUUUGUCGGCUAAAACAAUGGUUAACAGGAACAGCUGGGGGCACUAGUAUCGCUGCGCGAGAGGUGAAAUUCGUGGACCGCAGCGAGACUCCCUAA
rnacentral:rRNA from 1 species